UAGGCAUAUUAUUAAGCGGAGGAAAAGAAACUAACUAGGAUUCUCUUAGUAGCGGCGAGCGAACCGAGAAAAGCCCAGCACCGAAUCCUGCGGUAGUUUUAUCGCCGGGAAAUGUGGUGUUAAGAAGGAUCUAUUAUCCCGUUAUUACGCGGUACGUCUAAGUCUCUCUUGAACGGGGCCAUUACCCAUAGAGGGUGCCAGGCCCGUAGCGACUGCCGUAUGUAGCGGGAAGGUCUCUUCUGAGAGUCGGGUUGCUUGAAAGUGCAGCCCUAAGUGGGUGGUAAACUCCAUCUAAGGCUAAAUAUAACCACGAGACCGAUAGCAAACAAGUACCGUGAGGGAAAGUUGAAAAGAACUUUGAAGAGAGAGUUCAAUAGUACGUGAAACCGUUCAGGGGUAAACCUGAGAAACCCGAAAGAUCGAACGGAGAGAUUCAAUGCGUUCAUGUAUCGAACUUCGACGAAUUUGCGUAUAUGGCAGCACUCGUGUUUGCCAAAACCUUUCGUUAGAGCGUUCAAUUUUGACGUGUGCACUUCUCUCCCGGUAGAACGUCGCGACCCGUUGGGUGUCGGUCUAAGGCUCGCGGUGGAGCCCGUAAACGCGGUUUACCGUCGUUUGCGGACCCGCGGUGUCCCGGCCGACUCGCUCGACGGUUUACAGAAGGCGCAAGGCCGCGAUUUUAAUUCGCGUUCGGCUUGUAACAAGCGCGUUCGUAGCGUCGACGAUAGGACUUAGCGCCAAUCCCGACCACGAACAGUUGUUAGUUGCGAUGUUCUCGAACAGACCUUGUAGAAUCGCCGAUCUGCGACGCUAUAGCUUUGGGUAAUUUCAGGGCCCGUCUUGAAACACGGACCAAGGAGUCCAGCAUGUGCGCAAGUCAUUGGGAUAUGAUAAACCCAAAGGCGAAAUGAAAGUAAAGGUUAGCUUUGCGUUGACCAAGGGAAGAUAGGCGGUUGUUUUGAUAAUCGCCUCGCACUCCCGGGGCGUCUUGUUUUCUUUUUGAAAAGAGACGCACCUAGAGCGUACACGCUGGGACCCGAAAGAUGGUGAACUAUGCCUGGUCAGGACGAAGUCAGGGGAAACCCUGAUGGAGGUCCGUAGCGAUUCUGACGUGCAAAUCGAUCGUCGGAACUGGGUAUAGGGGCGAAAGACUAAUCGAACCAUCUAGUAGCUGGUUCCCUCCGAAGUUUCCCUCAGGAUAGCUGGCGUUCGUAACGAGUCUCAUCCGGUAAAGCGAAUGAUUAGAGGCAUUGGGGUCGAAACGACCUCAACCUAUUCUCAAACUUUAAAUGGGUGAGAUCUCCGGCUUGCUUAAACGUGAAGCCGCGAGAUAAGGAUCAGAGUGCCAAGUGGGCCAUUUUUGGUAAGCAGAACUGGCGCUGUGGGAUGAACCAAACGCCGAGUUAAAGCGCCUAAAUCGACGCUUAUGGGAUACCAUGAAAGGCGUUGGUAACUUAAGACAGCAGGACGGUGGCCAUGGAAGUCGGAAUCCGCUAAGGAGUGUGUAACAACUCACCUGCCGAAGUUACUAGCCCUGAAAAUGGAUGGCGCUGAAGCGUCGUGCUUAUACUCGGCCGUCAGCGGCAAGUGCGGUCGUCUAUUUAUAGAAGGCCAUGAAGCCCUGACGAGUAGGAGGGUCGCGGCGGUGCGCGCAGAAGGGUUGGUCGUGGGACCAUCUGGAGCCGCCGUCGGUGCAGAUCUUGGUGGUAGUAGCAAAUACUCCAGCGAGACCCUGGAGGACUGAUGUGGAGAAGGGUUUCGUGUGAACAGCUGUUGCACACGAGUCAGUCGAUCCUAAGCACUAGGCGAAAGCCGAUGUUAAUGAGGUGUAAUUUUAUGUAUUAAGUUUGUAACACACCCAUAGUGCGAAAGGGAAUCCGGUUCAUAUUCCGGAACCCGGCAGCGGAACCGUAAACCUUCGGGCCCUCUUUGAGUGUUCGUCGGGGUAACCCAAAAGAACCCGGAGACGCCGUCGGGAGAUCCGGGAAGAGUUUUCUUUUCUGCAUGAGCGUUCGAGUUCCAUGGAAUCCUCUAGCAGGGAGAUAUGGUUUGGAACGCGAAGAGCACCGCAGUUGCGGCGGUGUCCGGAUCUUCCCCUCGGACCUUGAAAAUCCGGGAAAGGGCCACGUGGAGGAGUCGCGCCGGCUCGUACCCAUAUCCGCAGCAGGUCUCCAAGUUAAAAGCCUCUUGUCGAUAGAAUAAUGUAG
rnacentral:rRNA from 1 species